CACGCCAAGGAGGCAGGACGAUUCAAAUCAGCCUGGAUAUUGUGGAACGUGUGUCAUAGUCUGACUCAGAUUACCUUCCAUGUAACUACCAAGUAGAUUAGAUUCAAAUUGACUUGUAACCCUAAGUCAUUAGCCUAUAUAAGAUGGCCUAGGCCACCCCCCGAGGGUAUCCCAACUAUUCCACGCACCAUCACAAAGCAAUAC
rnacentral:lncRNA from 1 species